GACGUAGGAGGCAAGCGUUGUCCGGAGUUACUGGGCGUAAAGGGCGCGCAGGCGGCCGCGCUGGCCAUCCCGUGAAAGCCCCCGGCUCAACCGGGCGGUGGCGGGUGGGACCGCGCGGCUGGAGGGUGGUAGGGGCCAGUAGAAUUCCCGGAGUAGUGGUGAAAUGCGUAGAUACCGGGAGGAAUACCCGCGGCGAAGGCGGCUGGCUGGGCCAUUCCUGACGCUGAGGCGCGAAGGCCAGGGGAGCGAACGGG
rnacentral:rRNA from 1 species